UACGAAGGGUGCAAGCGUUACUCGGAAUUACUGGGCGUAAAGCGUGCGUAGGUGGUGAGUUAAGUCUGUCGUGAAAGCCCCGGGCUCAACCUGGGAAUGGCGAUGGAUACUGGCUCGCUAGAGUGCGGUAGAGGAGAGUGGAAUUCCCGGUGUAGCAGUGAAAUGCGUAGAGAUCGGGAGGAACAUCAGUUGCGAAGGCGGGUCUCUGGGCCGAAACUGACGCUGAGGAGCGAAAGCGUGGGGAGCAAACAGG
rnacentral:rRNA from 1 species